UACAGAGGUCUCGAGCGUUAGGCGGAAUCACUGGGCUUAAAGCGUGUGUAGGCGGAUUUGUAAGUACCUUGUGAAAUCCCACGGCUCAACCGUGGAACUGCUCGGUAUACUGCUUAUCUUGAGCCACUUAGGGGCUACCGGAACAAAUGGUGGAGCGGUGAAAUGCGUAGAUAUCAUUUGGAACGCCAAUGGUGAAAACAGGUAGCUGGGAGUGUGCUGACGCUGAGACACGAAAGCCAGGGGAGCGAACGGG
rnacentral:rRNA from 1 species